rnacentral:rRNA from 1 species
CAGGCCUAACACAUGCAAGUCGAACGAUACCUUUCGGGGUAUAGUGGCGCACGGGUGCGUAACGCGUGGGAAUCUGCCCUGGGGUUCGGGAUAACCGUUGGAAACGACGGCUAAUACCGGAUGAUGAUGAAAAUCCAAAGAUUUAUCGCCCUGGGAUGAGCCCGCGUCGGAUUAGCUAGUUGGUGGGGUAAAGGCCUACCAAGGCGACGAUCCGUAGCUGGUCUGAGAGGAUGAUCAGCCACACUGGGACUGAGACACGGCCCAGACUCCUACGGGAGGCAGCAGUGGGGAAUAUUGGACAAUGGGCGCAAGCCUGAUCCAGCAAUGCCGCGUGAGUGAUGAAGGCCUUAGGGUUGUAAAGCUCUUUUAUCCGGGACGAUAAUGACGUGAGAUGGAGGAAUAAGCCCCGUCUAUCUUAGUGCCACCAUCC